ACGCCUGUAGCUCAAUUGGUAGAGCGGCGGUCUCCAAAAUCGCAGGCUGGGGGUUCAAGUCCCUCCGGGCGUGCCA
rnacentral:tRNA from 8 species